GACGUAGGGGGCCAGCGUUGUUCGGAAUUACUGGGUGUAAAGGGUUCGUAGGCGGUGUGGCAAGUCGGGAGUGAAAUUUCUGGGCUCAACUCAGAGACUGCUUCCGAAACUGCUGUGCUUGAGUGUGGGAGAGGCGCGUGGAAUUGCAGGUGUAGCGGUGAAAUGCGUAGAUAUCUGGAGGAACACCGGUGGCGAAGGCGGCAUCCUGGACCGGCAUUGACGCUGAGGAGCGAAAGCCAGGGGAGCAAACGGGG
rnacentral:rRNA from 1 species